rnacentral:SRP_RNA from 1 species
GCUGGGUGUGGUGGCUCAUGCCUGUAAUCCCGGCACUUUGGGAGGCUGAGGCAGGUGGAUCACCUGAGGUCAGGAGUUUGAGACCAGCCUGGCCAACAUGGUGAAACCCUGUCUCUA